rnacentral:lncRNA from 1 species
GUUGGUGGGGUGUGUGACGCAGGGAAAGGGGAGAAGAGGGGAAAACCCUUCUUCUCCAAAUCAUCAAGAACCUAACAAUUGGAGGCGUUUAUGGAUGAAAUUCGUAUGCAUGUGAUCGAUUUCUCAAUCAUCUAAGGGUUUCCAACAUGUGGUAUCGCAUGAGCAUGGAAGGCAAAUGGGUCAAGAGGAGGCAAGAAAGCGAAUGCGAAUAGGAACGCUUAAGGUAACUGAAUGUCAAACUUACCCUUUUGACUUAAUAUGUUUUGUUGUUUAGUAAUUUAUUUAGAGUCAUGUAAGAGAGUAUGAAUUAAAGGUAAUGAUAAGGUAAGUCUAAUGGAAAAGAGUCGAAUGUGGUUAGUAAGUCGGGAAGUGCAUAAUAAAGAUCAAACGGGUCAAAUUAAUGCGCAUGAAUAAUAUAAUGUAAUCGUAAUUCUUAAUGGUUAGGACUCUGGGGUAAGGAUUUCUAGUCAAUUAUGUAAGGGAAUAUUUUACGGACCGUUAGGAACAAGUUUUAUAUGAUUCGGAUGUGUGUGGGACAAGAUGUGGGAGUUUUAGUGAUUAAAAUGGGAGUUGAGUUGGGCACUACCGUAGCUUACGGUAGCCACCGUAAGCUAUGGUAGGUUCUGGAGUCUUUUUGGUCACCGUAAGGCAGUAGCAUCUCACCGUAAGGAUUUUAUGGCCACCGUAAGCUAUGGUAGCCACCGUAGCUUACGGUGGAACUGUCACGCCCCGCGAAAUAGUAAGCCAAGGCUUACCCGGCCCGUGAGGGACCGUGCUGCUGGCAUUUUGCUGAAUUGGUUUUGAUAUUCUGAGCAUAGGACUUGACUAAAAAGGGUUUUCCAAGGCCUCAUAACUUACGUUAAGAAUGGUUUCGAAUAUAAUUGAUGUUAAAGGUCGUCGGUUAGUGAAUGGACGGAUUGUUUUCGUGUUAGUGUAGGAAAUUUAUAAGCAUAUAUGUAUAGGAAUCUAGAAGGCACGUAGGUCGAUUUGUAUAUCGUCUAUACUAUGUAAAGUUAUGAACAUGUCAUUUCGGCAUAAACCUAUAUCUAAGAAGUGGUAAACAGGAAUUUGUGUAUAUAUUCGUGAAUAAUUGUUUGUGCGUAGGAAGGGACAUAGGCAUGUAUCAAGGCGUUUGAGUAUUUACGAUUACUAAUGAUGUGCUUGAGUUGGAAUGUAAUGCAGGUAUGAGAUUGUCAGGUUCAUGAAGGAAUGAAACCGGGUUUGGAUAAAGAGUUUUUAAGAAAGCACUUGGACAAUUCCACGUUUACUUCAUAGAAUGCUUUACGAAUUUCUAUUAUAUAGUUUAAUGUUGUAUGGUGUGUUAAUGGCUAAUGGUUGGGUUGUACGUGGUGUCCACGGGUAUCGCUCGAGUUUUCUCUACCACUAGCAAAGUGAAGCACACAUAGAUCGAGUUGAGAGCAAGGAUUGUACGGGAAAGAAAGGUCACAUAGUUUGUUUUAAAUAGGUCAUGAAACCUUGAUAUAAUGUAACAUUGUGAAUCCUUUCUAAUGAAUGUAUUACAGUUU